AGAUUGAACGCUGGCGGCAGGCCUAACACAUGCAAGUCGAGCGGUAGAGAGGUGCUUGCACCUCUUGAGAGCGGCGGACGGGUGAGUAAUGCCUAGGAAUCUGCCUAGUGGUGGGGAUAACGUUCGGAAACGGACGCUAAUACCGCAUACGUCCUACGGGAGAAAGCGGGGGACCUUCGGGCCUCGCGCCAUUAGAUGAGCCUAGGUCGGAUUAGCUAGUUGGUGAGGUAAUGGACUCGACCAAGGCGACGGAUCCGUAACUGGUCCUGAGAGGAUGAUCAGUCACACUGGACUGAGACACGGUCCAGACUCCUACGGGAGCAGCAGUGGGGAAUAUUGGACAAGUGGGCCGAAAGGCCUGACUCCAGUCCAAUGCCGCGUAGUCGUGAACGAAGGU
rnacentral:rRNA from 1 species